GCUCCCCAGCGCUGCCGAGAGCCAAAUGGGAUUUUGCCUGAAUGAGUACUGGGGGGUGGGCGCUCGUUCAGAGCCACAAACAGCUCCUUAAAAUACAACGAGUGCUCAGAAGAUGGAAUUUUGCUAUAUUAUGAUUUCAGAAAACAGCAGAUGAACACUGGACAUAAUGACAAGUCCCCCCAGCUCUGAAGAGCUCACUCGAACCCACUGAGCCUUCUGAGCAAUCCAGCUUCAGCCCUUGACUGUGUUCAUUACAUUAUUUUGAUGCACUGUGAUGAAUGCAAGAGAUCACUAUACAUUAAAAGCAGAGUUCAGUAAUCAGUAUGGAACAGUGUCCAUAUGCUGGCUGACAGCUUUACCCUACAGUUACUGGGCUAGUAGUUUUCAGCCAAAAGUCAGGAGAAUUUGGUACUCAGGGUUUUGCCCUCCCAUUCCCCUCUCUCUGCCACUAAAGUAAUCUGAAGUAAUAAUUUUCAACUGAAUAUUUUUAAGUGUUAUCUGUAUCUGUAGUUGCCAGUAAGAGCUCAGCCCCGUUCCUCUCACCACCACCUCUGCAGAUGCUCCUGGAAAGUGGGCAGGAGACCUCCACCACCCCUGGCUAUUCCCAGCAGGACUCUGAAGUGUUCCAGCUCUGGUGAGAGAGAAAUAACUGCAGCAAGAAUUGUCCCAGUAGAAGUUCAAAGAUCUUAAGUCUGUGACAAGAAAAACAAAUCAAGCUCCCGACCUUGGCAUCAUCGCUCACUUAGGAAUUUUUUGUACCUGAAAGAAAAUCUGCUGAUAUCCCAUGCAAGUAAUAAAUCACCUCACGUCAUCAGUAAAUACAGCUGUAAAACAGACAUCUCAAGAGCGCUUCACUGCUGAAUGUCUGAAGUAGGUGCGUGGUACUUUGAUCCUCCCUGAGGAGGCUCCCGAUGCCAUUGGUUACCGCUACAUCCCGUCCCCUCAGAGCCAGCCAGUACCAACCCACGGGCAAACCCGGACACUUCGCAGACACUCUGAGUAACUUUACAGACGCACAUUUUACUUAGCAGGGCAGUAAUAUGAAGAAAGUUUUAUUUUAAGCAGUUUUCAGAAAGAGAGAUCGAUUUCCCAGGCAAAAACUUAUGAACCCCACAGUCGAACAGCACAGUAAAAUAAACUAAAGCCGUUACCAAAAUUCAUAAUGAUUUGC